rnacentral:rRNA from 1 species
CUACGGGGUGCUGCAGUGGGGAAUAUUGCACAAUGGGGGAAACCCUGAUGCAGCAACGCCGCGUGGAGGAUGACGCAUUUCGGUGUGUAAACUCCUUUUAUAUAGGAAGAUAAUGACGGUACUAUAUGAAUAAGCACCGGCUAACUCCGUGCCAGCAGCCGCGGUAAUACAGGAGGGUGCAAGCGUUACUCGGAAUCACUGGGCGUAAAGCGCGCGCAGGCGGCCUUUUAAGUUGGAUGUGAAAGCCUAUGGCUUAACCAUAGAACUGCAUCCAAAACUAUCAGGCUAGAGUCUGGGAGGGGAAGAUGGAAUUAGUUGUGUAGGGGUAAAAUCCGUAGAGAUAACUAGGAAUACCAAAAGCGAAGGCGAUCUUCUGGAACAGUACUGACGCUGAGGCGCGAAAGCGUGGGGAGCAAACAGGAUUAGAUACCCGAGUAGUC